rnacentral:rRNA from 1 species
UUARAGUYUGMUCCUGGCUCAKAWCRWRYGCUGGCGGCGUGCUUAACACAUGCAAGUCRAACGUGAUUGAGAGCUUGCUCUCAUGAAAGUGGCGCACGGGUGAGUAACACGUGGAUAAUCUGCCUGGCGAUUCGGGAUAACACUUCGAAAGGGGUGCUAAUACCGGAUAAGCCCACGGUCUCUUCGGAGAGUGCGGGAAAAGGGGGCCUCUGUAUAUGCUCCUGUCGCUAGAUGAGUCCGCGGCCCAUUAGCUAGUUGGUAGGGUAAUGGCCUACCAAGGCUACGAUGGGUAGCUGGUCUGAGAGGAUGAUCASCCMCACUGGAACUGAGACACGGUCCARACUCCUACGGGAGGCAGCAGUGGGGAAUUUUGCGCAAUGGGCGAAAGCCUGACGCASCA